AUGCGAUAUAGGUGCUCAUGUUGAGCUUAAUAGAGAAAUCGGUACAAGCCGAUGCGGUCCCGCCGCUGUAAUGCAGAGCGAGCUUUAUUUAUGUCACUGGGUAAAACUGGGAAGGCAAAGCAAGCUAUGAAGCAGAGCCAGAAGAACUGCCUAUAUUUG
rnacentral:ncRNA from 1 species